UAAUACUUGGAUUUAAGAAUACAGUAAAAAAAUUAUUACGGAAAUUUUCUUCAAAAUAGUUAUAAUCCAAACAAAACAAAACAAUCUAACCAAAAAAAAACAAAACAAAAAAGGUUAUAUGGAGACGUACUUGUCACAAUUGGUGCUGAAACUGAUGGGGUAGGGAAUUGAAAGACCACAAGUGGUAGGAAGUGAGGCCACAAGGCCGGUGUUGAGGCCCUUGAUUUCUUUACCCGCUACUUUAAGGCACUCACAUACUUGUUUCCGAUCCGCUGUGGUCUGAGCCAUUUGGUACAAUGACUUGACUCCCACGC
rnacentral:lncRNA from 1 species